CGGAGGAAAAGAAACUAACAAGGAUUCCCCUAGUAACGGCGAGUGAAGCGGGAAGAGCUCAAAUUUGAAAUCUGGCAGUCUUCGAUUGUCCGAGUUGUAAUCUAUAGAGGCGUUUUCCGUGCCGGACCGUGUCCAAGUCUCCUGGAAAGGAGUAUCAAAGAGGGUGAUAAUCCCGUACUUAACACGACCACCGGUGCUCUGUGAUACGUCUUCUACGAGUCGAGUUGUUUGGGAAUGCAGCUCAAAAUGGGUGGUGAAUUCCAUCUAAAGCUAAAUAUUGGCGAGAGACCGAUAGCGAACAAGUACCGUGAGGGAAAGAUGAAAAGCACUUUGGAAAGAGAGUUAAACAGUACGUGAAAUUGUUGAAAGGGAAACGAUUGAAGUCAGUCGUGUUCUUUGGAUUCAGCCAGUUCUGCUGGUCUACUUCCUUGGAACGGGUCAACAUCAGUUUUGUCCGGUGGAUAAAGGUAGUAGGAAUGUGACUUCUCCGGAAGUGUUAUAGCCUAUUAUCACAUACACUGGGUGAGACUGAGGACUGCAGCUCGCCUUUAUGGCCGGCCUUCGGGCACGUUCGAGCUUAGGAUGUUGACAUAAUGGCUUUAAACGACCCGUC
rnacentral:rRNA from 1 species